AAUUCUCCACAAUGUGAAAAUACGAAGUUACGUAUAUAUUAUGACAGCUGUGGUUACGUAUACGUCGACAUUAAUAAUCUGUCAAAACCGUAAACACAUUAUUUUCAUAACGCAAUUUUGCGAUAGUUCCUAUUAGUUGAAAAAAAUUAAAUUUUUGUGUGCAAACUGAAACGCAAAAUGGUUUAGUGCGAUGUAUGCCAGCAGAAUAUUUCGGGAAACAUUUACAAGCACAAAAGAGUUGAGCACAGUUGGGAUCGAGGUGGUAUUAAAUUGAUUAAACAGGAAGAUAAAACUCUGAUCGAAGCUAUACAAAACGAAAAAACAUUCGUUGGACCUUCGCUGUUAUAUUUGAAACGUCUCGCAAAUUAUGCGGUAACACAAAAUUUUCAAGCCACAUUUUUUGGAGUCGACUCACCAAAACCAGAACUUGUCAUUACAACGGGUACAAUUGCAGAGAAUGAAAAUACAAUCCCGGAGAUGUCUGAUGUUGAUACACCUGAGCAUUAGUUCUCUCGCAAAAUAUGCGUAAAUUACUUACUUUUAUGUUUAAUUAAAUAAAUAUAAAUGAUUGGAAAAUGUCUCUUAGCUACAUAUUGAUAUCAAACAAAAAUAAAAACACUAUACUACUAAAACA